rnacentral:rRNA from 1 species
UACGUAGGGUGCGAGCGUUAAUCGGAAUUACUGGGCGUAAAGCGUGCGCAGGCGGUUCGUUGUGUCGGCGGUGAAAGCCCCGGGCUUAACCUGGGAAUGGCCGUUGAAACUGGCGAACUGGAGUGUGGCAGAGGGGGGUGGAACUCCGCGUGUAGCAGUGAAAUGCGUAGAGAUGCGGAGGAACACCGAUGGCGAAGGCAGCCCCCUGGGCUAACACUGACGCUCAGGCACGAAAGCGUGGGGAGCAAACAGG